GUCCAUGCAGAAACUGAUGUAUGACAGCACAGAGGACAUGUGGAGCUCAAUGUGUGGGUCCUCAAAGAGCUCCCAUAAGGUGUCCUCAAAACAUCUCUAAAAUAUUCA